CCUCCUUUUCUUGUGUGUGUGCUGGGUGUGUGCCCCAGUCCCCGUUACAUGCAGAGACAGAUGGAAAGGCUUCAUUCCCUGUCUUUGGUGCCAGCAAAUUCCUGUUUGCUAGUUCUGUCCUUAAACACUGGGACACUU